rnacentral:misc_RNA from 1 species
ACACCUCAACUCUUCAUGGUUUUUCUGUGAUGAGCUUGGACUUUGGGGGUUUUGCUGGCCUGUGGUCGGCUCCUCUAAAAUGAAUCAGCUCGCCAGUGUUUGGUGGGCAUCACAGGUGUGAUAACUAUCUACGCUUGUGGUUUCCCACCAGGUAACCUUCAGCAAUGGAGGUUCGCUGGAGCUCACAGAUGUCUCUCCUCGGUGAGGACGACGACCCUUUGAAU